CCUACGGGUUGCUGCAGUGGGGAAUAUUGCGCAAUGGGCGAAAGCCUGACGCAGCGACGCCGCGUGAGGGAUGAAGGUCUUCGGAUCUUAAACCUCUGUCAGCAGGGAAGAACGGUCACUGUGCUAAUCAGCAGUGAAUUGACGGUACCUGCAAAGGACGCACCGGCUAACUCCGUGCCAGCAGCCGCGGUAAUACGGAGGGUGCGAGCGUUAAUCGGAAUUACUUGGCGUAAAGCGCUCGUAGGCGGUAUGUCAAGUCAAGGGUGAAAUCCCCGCGCUCAACGUGGGAACUGCGUUUGAAACUGGCAGGCUUGAGUGUGUGAGAGGAUAGUGGAAUUCCAGGUGUAGGAGUGAAAUCCGUAGAUAUCUGGAGGAACAUCGGUGGCGAAGGCGACUAUCGGGAACAUAACUGACGCGGAGGAGCGAAAGCGUGGGUAGCAAACAGGAUUAGAUACCCGAGUAGUC
rnacentral:rRNA from 1 species